rnacentral:rRNA from 1 species
CCUACGGGUGGCAGCAGUGGGGAAUAUUGCACAAUGGGGGAAACCCUGAUGCAGCGACGCCGCGUGAGCGAAGAAGUAUUUCGGUAUGUAAAGCUCUAUCAGCAGGGAAGAAAAUGACGGUACCUUAGUAAGAAGCUCCGGCUAAAUACGUGCCAGCAGCCGCGGUAAUACGUAUGGAGCAAGCGUUAUCCGGAUUUACUGGGCGAAAGGGGAGCGAAGGCGGCCUGCCAAGUCUGAUGUGAAAUACCGGGGCCCAACCCCGUGGCUGCAUUGGAAACUGGCAGGCUGGAGUGCCGGAGAGGCAGGCGGAAUUCCUAGUGUAGCGGUGAAAUGCGUAGAUAUUAGGAGGAACACCAGUGGCGAAGGCGGCCUGCUGGACGGUGACUGACGCUGAGGCUCGAAAGCGUGGGGAGCAAACAGGAUUAGAUACCCUAGUAGUC